CAGGAGAUCAAAUCAAAGACACGCUCUCUGGUCCUGGAUAACUGCAUUGACAGGAUGGUAGAAAAACUGGAUGUGGAAAAGAAAGAGCAUCGCUUGACCCUUAUCAGAGAGCGGAAAGAGAAACAGAAAGUGUUGGUGAAACCAGCCACGGACAAUGACAGCAAUAUCAUUUCUUCCAUCUACUCCAUCUUGUUGAUGAGCAGUUGUGACAGUGAGGACUCUUGAGUACUCUUACUAUAAUGAAAGCUACUACAUUAUCUAAACACUAUUACUGCAGACUCGUUUGCCUGUGUGCUGCCCAGAACCAACCUAAUGGUGUUUGGUUGACUACUGCUGGAUGAGUGAACUGGACAUCUGGAAAGAGAGACUCUGAAGAGGCUGGAGCUGACAACUAGCAGCAUUUGGAAGAAGGACCUUAUUUUUUAAAUGAAUGUACAGAAGCUUGAUCUCUAAAACGAGACUGGGAUUGUGAGAGAGCAAACUGCUGUUAUGCUAGAAGGCUGACAUACAGAACCUAGGCUUCUAUGAUCGCUUGUGACCGGCUUGGUGUAAUCUAAUAGUUUGUAUGCAUCACUGCCCUUUCCUUAGUGAAUGACAUGUUUAAAUGUGUACAUCAGCUUCACUUAUUUCAGGAAGCAGAGGGAGUGGCCCAAGCUAUUUGAGAACUUGGCCAUCCCCACCAGCAGGCAGGAGUGGUAUAUCAUGAAAAAGUGCCAACGGGGGUUUUCCUCUUGAAUUUCAUAUGGCAGCUAGAGUCAUCCCAGGCCUCUGGCAGUAAAGGUAACAAAGGAUGGGUUAUGGAUCCUGUCAGUCUUAAGUGCUUAAAUGCAUUGUAAGCUGAGCUGCUGGCCAUCAGUUUUCUCUGUUGAUGUUACUCAUUUUCUGUUAAGAUAGGGAUGGAAAAGAUGAAAUCUGCCAGAAUUCCUUAGCUAUUGUGCUUUUCCUACAGUAUCUGUGGUUUGUUCCCUCUUCAUGCUUUUGCAUAAAGGGUUUUAGAACUGGGAAGCAAUGCAUCCAGAAGUUGUUAGCAAUGACUUCAGGAACGCAUAUAGUUCUUGUCAGCAGCAGAGAGGAACCUGCCUCUUCAGAAGUG
rnacentral:lncRNA from 1 species